CCCCCAACCCCCACCCCGAAUAUAGAACGCCGGGUCCACCAACGCUGGUACCUACCAGGAAGCUGGAGGCAUAAUUACCCCUUGAGUGAUCGCAGAAGUUGGACAGCCCAGAAGCAGAGGUGUGCCCUCCCUGGGUCGGUACUUUUGAGGUUGACGUCCAGAAAUCCCACAGCAGUUGUUAGGUCAUGGCUUGUGUUUCCAUAGUUAAAGGAACACUCAUGGAAAUGAAAAUGACAUUGAAACCCAACCGUGAAAUGAUAUCUCCCCUGCUCCCUAAAAUUAAAAACAAAAACAAGCAAACAAAAAACUGAUUCAAGAUGUUUCCUCAGGAUGCAGGCUCAGAACCCUCUAACCUGACCCAAAACGACCUUGAGAGGUAUUCCGAACCAAAUUCCUGUGUGCAGAACCCAGAGAACAGAAAACGGCCUCUAGGACCUAGAUUAGAAGCAAUUGCAGAACAGCUCGGAUCAUCCAGAAGUUCCAUUAAAUGGCUUUACAGAGUGGCCAACUGUCCCAAACAAGAGUCUGGUUUGUAACCAGUCAGCCCCCUCUUUCUGCAUACUACAGGAUCUUUAAAUCCCUUUGCUCCAGACCCAUUCUGGAGAUUGGCUCCAGUGUGCUUUGUUUCCUUGUAAGUUGACCUAUUAGGAGACUCUUUUUGCACAAGAACUGGUAUUGGCUUCUGUGUGUGACCCGCAGCCAGCUGAGAUCCUGUCAUCUGUCUCAUUCCUUCAAAAUUGACUUAUAACCUUGUGUUGAACCCUUACUGGGACACCUCUAUCCUGUCCUAAUUUCUAAUAACUAUGAAACAUUCUGCAGAUAGUCACUUUAAGCCUGCUCUUGUCAAGACUUUCAAAGAUUUGGUGCUUCUGUUUUGGGCACAAGAGUCUGAACCUUGACACACUGCUGCAUUGAGAAAUUGUUAGGAAAGUCUUGGUUUCAGCAACUAGGACAUCUUCCUCCUCCUCCUCUUUUUUUUUUUUUCCUAAAAUUAACAAUUGUUGCAACCCAUGUAUGAGAAAGGCAUUUUCAGUUCAGUGUAUUUUCUGUGUUAUGUCUUUCCUUUUUUUCCAAAGAAAGACUGUUCAUGAAGGUGGCCGUGGGUGGCUGGAGUUCUGUACCCGUUCUUUGUUUACAUUCCAUUUCAGUAUCCCCCCAAAUCUCAGUGUCCCCUUGGGGUUUCUUUUGAGAUCCAUACUUGUUAGUUGUGACCUAAUUCUCCGAUCAGAGAGAAUGGAAUGAGUACUGGAAAGUCUUCCUAUUUAAUGAAAAAGUAAAAUAAGCUUGUGUAGACCUCUCUCUCUCUCUCUCUCUCUCUCUCUCUCUGUAGGGUGUUGAGAAAGAAUUUACCUUUACCACUGAUACUUCAUGCCCAUUAUCCCUGGCCCACAGCUCUCUGCACCAGCAAGCCCCGACAUUCUUCAAUUCUUCUCUUGCUGGAUGACCCAUCUUCAAAUCCGCAACAGUUCCCGGUUGAAUGUCACUUAGAGUAUACCAGUUCCAAAGAAACCUGAUUCUCCUUUGAAGUUCGUACGCAGGGGGCUUUCUCGAGUUCAUUUAACUUAGUUACAGCUUGCUUUCUCCCCUUCAGUCUUUAUUUCAAAUGAUUUUCCCACCCCAGUUGUUACCCUUCCAGAGUGGAGCCUUCAGCGUAGAAACCGUUGCGAAGGUUCUGCUUCCUCUCAGGAAUUGGGAAAUAAUCUGCUGUUUUCAGAUGUCAUAAUUCAUCUUUAUGCAUCAGACUGAAGAGAUCUGGUGUUGGGGGAUCCUUUGUAACAAGGAGAGACAAAAUCAGCAGCGUCCCAGAGCAGCGUGUUUACUUAUUUAUUAUCAUCGGAGACACUGUAUGGUCUCAGACAGUUGAAGUAGGAAGGUGUUCUUUAAUUUUUUUUUACCUUUCCCCCAUAAAGCAGAAGUUCUUAUUUCCCACAGCCUGUUGUUCUUUUCGUGUCCUAUCAUGAGUGCACCUGAAUGCUUUCCAAAGGCCCGGAGAUGGGGUGGGGAAAGGGGCUGCCAAGUUAUAAAGGUAGUUCAGACUUGACAGUACAUAAACCGCUAAAGGUUUCAGCGUGCGCUGGAGAUUGAAUCCCAUGCCUUGCUCAUACUAGGCAAGUGCCUGCCACGAAGCCAUAUGUUCAGCCCUAGCAUUUAAUCUUAAGAAAUCCACAAAACAAAGUGUAUGCCUGUCUAAUGACUUUCCGAGACUUCCACCCUAUGCUGUGGCAUGGGCUCUGUCACUCAUGAAAUCUUCUUCCCGUAAGCUCCCCUGCCUCUCUCUAGGUCUCCUUUCAGCCUUUCAAGUGGGCCGUGUUUAUUUUCAAGGCGUGUGUUGUUCGCUUGAUUCAGGUCUCUGUGGGAUUUAAGGGAGCAGAGAAAAUACUUUUUUUUUUCUAGUUACAGUAUUGACAAUAGGAACAGGAGACUUGUAAGAAAGUGACAGAAGAACUGGAUGUCACUAAAACAGGAAAAAGAAUGGCAACAAGACGCAGGCCGAAGGUCACCGCUUACAUCUUACCAAAAAAAAAAAAAAAAAAAAAAAAAAGAUACUUCCUGAUUUCUUUCUGAGGGUUUGGCAUGCCAGGGAAAGGUGCUGCAGCACCACAGGGCUUUCUGUGAGGCCAGCCCUGCCUGCAUGUGGGUCCUCGCUGGUAUUAUGUUAUCUUCACUAAGUUACUUAAGAUUCCAUGUCUCAGUCCUAAUCUUUAAAAUGGAGCUAAGCAUGCAUGCUUAUGAGAAACAAACAGGACUGUAUAAAAAUAUGCUCCGUAUUAGCAGAUUCACGGUCCCUGAGACUUACACCCAGUAAGUUACAAAGCGCUUGCUCUCCCUGUUAGGGAUCGUCCACAAACUCUCUUAGACGCAGUAGCCUUUAUUUACCUGUAGUCCCAAACUGGUGUCAGGCCCCAGCAUUAACCGACUGUGGCCUUUGUGUGCUUGGCGUGUUCACAGCACACAUCACCUGUGUACAUGGGAGAAACUGAGCAGGCCCAGAAGAUUUUUAUUAACGUUGGUUGCUAAGUUGGGUUGCUUCAAAACAUCCCCCGCCCCAUAAGCACCCCUUUGAGGGUCGGCAUGAAAGUCAGCCUGAAAGAAACAGCAGAAAUGCCUUGGCCAGAGUUGCAGCGGAGGCUGACAUCAUUCCCUCCUCAUUCCUGUGUUACAGACCAUUGGAUAAUUUCCUUAAAAGUUCCUGAAGUUAGGAUUAAUAGGCCAGGAGCUGUUGCGCACUCUCUCUUCUCCCUCUCCUGCUCCUGUCACUAACUACUGCUUUACACAGAGCUUCCCAACUCCUACCCCGACAUCAAAGCAUCUGGUUUCUUAAGUAAACAGGCCCUGGAGAGAGGCUGUUGUAAGGCCUCAGCACCGGGAAGAAUGCUUGUGUUUGUUUGCCCCGCUGGCAGAGCUGAGGCCAGGCUGACAGGACUCAGUGUGUCUGCUGGCUGGUGCAGGGAGCUGCUGCUCUCUGCCUGUUGGGGAUCACCAAACCUUUGUAACAGCAGGAGAGCUGAGGGUUGUUUGUUGCCUUUUACUAUCCCAGAAGUUCCUGCCUGCCUCAUUUCCCCAGCGUUACCCCGUAUUCAUUCCUUCUCCCUCCAUUUCCCACACUCCAUGUCCAUAUCUAGUUUAUCCCACGUUUUACAAGGCCCUUUACUGCCGCUCAGGUUUGGGUCAAGGCAUGGGAACCUAGGAAGGCUGGCCUUGGUCCUGGUUAAGCAGAGAGAGCCAUGGCCCCCGGCCGGGGAAGAGCCCUCUGCCAUGCAGACUGCUUUGAGCGGGAUGUUAACGCCACAGACGCUUGGGAUUCUGGGAGGAACCAUCAUCAGCUGUGAGGAUUUCUCCUCCACCGCAGGAAAGGUUGCUCUGCAGAAGGGCUGAGCAUUUGGUUAACAUGAGAGCAGAAGGCCAGCCAGGUGUGACAGAUGGCUGAAAGGGAAUGUGGCAUAAAGUUAAGGAAGUUCACUGCUGCCUCAAACACUCGCCUCUACGAAUUGCAAAUUGUAAUUAGAAGUUUGAGUUGUGUCUUUGCUGGGGAAGGUCACUGGAAGCAGCCCUUGUUCUGGCCAGUUCCUAAAGGGUCUUUCUUUCUGCAAUAAUGACAGUAGCCGACACGCUCUGCUUUUUUGCAUUAGGCUAACGCACGUUCUUGAGCUCUGCCAUUUGCAAGCUGCUCUGGUCAGCAGGGAUUGGACUCCCAUGGUAACUGCCAUGCCUGUGCUCUUCAGUUUCAUCACUGGUGAGCUCUUAGCUCUGUGAUUCCCACAUGGCAUUUAAUUCUUAGCAUCACUAGUGGGCAUCAGCCGGAGGGAACAUUUCCUCUUCCUCCUUACAUUCUGGCCAAUCUCCAUCACCUCAAUCAUCCGGGAAGUUAGAACUUCAUUUUGAGGCAGGGGAAAUGAGGCUAGGCUGUUUUAUAUGAUGAGGAACUAAUGCUGAGGCAGAAAACCCAUCAAAUUGGACAUGCAGCCAGCUCUAGAAAGAGCUGUAUUAUGUUGGCCCCUGACAUAUAAAUAACUACUGUGUUUGUCAGUUUCUAGCACUUCCCAGUUCUCUGCCAAGCUUGUUCCUCCCACUUUGUGGCCUCCAGGUCUAUGUGUAGGUCGGUUUCAGGGGUAAUGGUGCUUGAAGAACAAAGCAUUCUGUAUGUGUCUGGUCUAGGUGGUCCAUUGUUUAACUGUGGCUCCCUUCAGAAAUGGGUUAGUAAAUGUAGUUUGUUUGUUUGUUUCUCGAGACAGGGUUUCUCUGUGUAGUCAUGGAAUUCACUCUGUAGACCAGGCUGGCCUCGAACUCAGAAAUCCGCCUGUCUCUGCCUCCCAAGUGCUGGGAUCAAAGGCGUGCGCCACCACCGCCCAGGCAUAAAUGUAGUUUUAAGAGAUAGUUGGAUUGAAGGCAGACAGACUCUUUAAAUCAAUAGACUGGUAGGUGAAAGCUAGCCACGUGAGGUCUAUUUACAUACUGAGGUCAUUAUUCCCUCUCUAACUCUUAAUGCAACCUCAAGAACCCACUUGUGGCACUCUGCUGUAAUACCGUGCGAGUUCUGUUUGGUGUUCCAGUCUCUGUUCCUCAGUUCCCCAUCUGCGAUGAUGUUAGAAGUUUUGGAUUAGCAUAAAAAUGUUUUGUUUUGUUUUUAAAUCCUAUGCUCCUCGUGGAAGAAGAGGCCAGAGGUUGUGAUCACAGAUGUUUAUUGGUUGAUUCCAAAUUUAGAAGCAAGUCUUGGCUGCUCAGCCUGCUGGUUGAGCUUGCACACAGUGUGGAUUUCACAUCUGAGGUGGUGGCCUGCCACUCUCAGAAGUUUCUUCAGUGGCAUGUGAGCAUUUUCAAAAGACAGUAGGAUGUUUUCCAGGCAAUUACGAAGAUUCUUUGCCCCUUAUUUUAGGGAGAGUAGUACUUUAUCAUCCCUUGUUGACUAGGAAUUUCAGUGCUAAUAAAAGCUACUAGCUUGAAUAGCCCAAACAUAGAUCCAGUAAACUAUGUAGUGAUAAAUGUGGGGCUUGUUGUAGUCUGUUCUUUUCCUCUUUUCUAAACUCCAACUUUUCUUCGUCUGUCCACUUUGCAGCAACAUGAGUAUUUGAAAGCAUGUGGCUGGCUGACACUGCGUCCAUGCCCCUGUGAAGAUAGCUUGUGAUUAACUUGACUUGAUUUACUGUCAUCGGAAGAAAAUGAGCGUUGGUUGCUUCAGGACUCGGCUACUCGCCCUCCUGUGUGGGCUUUAGCUAAGGUUUUGCUCUGGGUGUAGUUAGUACUCCUGCCAGUUUGCAAGUCUGGUUUGACUCCUUGAAGGACCAAGAGCUUAAACUAGAAGAGGUAGUCUCAUUCCUCUCAGACAAGGUGGCUCUAACCUGAUGUUUAUACAGCACUUGCUUUUUGUCAUGAGGAAUCUAGAACAUUCAUUUGUUGCAUACAAAAUGCCCAAGACAUAGACAUAUCUUAUUGCCCAGAUUCGAGUCAUGGCUCUCCUGCACUCGUGGCUCUGUGAUCAUGGAGAAUUAUUUUACUUCUCUGGCCUUCAUAGUUUUUUGUUUUGUUUUGUCUUUUCUCUCUCUCUCUCUCUCUCUCUCUCUCUCUCUCUCUCUCUCUCUCUCUCUCUUUCUUUCUUUCUUUCUUUCUUUCUUUCCUGAGAUAGGGUUUCUCUGUCUAACAGCCUUGGCUGUCCUGGAAUGUGCUGCUUGAAGAGAGAUGAUGGUGAGAAUAACUGAUGUCUCCAUGAAAGCAUGUGAGAAAUAAUCUUGAUAGCUGUCUAGGGAAGAGGAACAGGCAUCAGGCAAUGGGCGAAAGGUCAUCAGUGGAAGUGUCUUAACUGAAAGUAUUAGACCUGGGGCCUGAUACUGGAAAGGAAACCAGACAGAAGGAACAUCCAUCCCUUUCAGAGGCUGUCCGUCGCUGUGGGCUGGAGAAAUAUGCCCAAGAAGAAAGAUGAUUGAGGACAGGGUAGCCCUGAGGUUUGAGGGCACUUAAGGAAUACAAUCAGACUCUGUGCUCAUGCGCACGCGCAUGUGCGUGUGUCUGUCCAAGUGCAGGUACAAACAUGGCAUGGCAAACAUGAGAAGAUCGUGGAACUGCUCUGCUCUCAGGAGUUCUCCUUCUCUGCCCUCUUGUAGGAUCAAGCUCAGGUAUUCGAGCCUGAGAGAGAGCACCACUCUUUACCCACUGAGCCAUCGCACCACCCCAACUCUGGAUAUUCUUGAAGGAGAAUGGGAAGCAAGUAGGAGCCCUGGAUGCCCAUGACUGCAUUUCUUCUGUCUGAAUAUUCACAAGCUCCAGGAGGAGGUUGACUGCUGGCUGCUCCUGUGUUUAGCAGCCUGAAUAGAUUGUUAGGCUCAUUUGCAUGUCACCACCCUUUCGUCUAAUGUUGAAGCUAGCCGACCUGCCUAGUCAGAUUGGUAGCGCCUUCUGGUCACAUGCCUUAGUUCCUUGGCUGAGAGCUGGGGGUGUACCAGGUGUCCCGACACGAUGCUGCACUUGGAAGUUCACUAACAGGUUUUAGGUCAGUGCAUUUGCCUGUCGUAGAGGUAAGGCAAGGCUGUAGACUCCAUUUCUUCGUUGUAUAGUUGUGAACUCCUUUCUGUUCCUUAAGGUCGCAGUGUCCUCAGUAGAGCUCAGUCAGCCUUUGUAAGCCUCCAGACCCCCUUGUAUAAAAUGUAACAUCACCUUGAGGCUUUGGAGAGAAAGCAUUAGUAGAUAGACUUUGGAAACUUUUAAAUACCCUGUGAGUGUGACUAGUAUAAUUUUUUCUUUUCUUUUUUUCCUUUUUUCAAGACAGGAUUUCUCUGUAUAACAAUGACUCACAGAGAUCCACCUGUCUCUGCCUCCCAAGUGCUGGGACUAAAGGCAGACACCACCAUGCCCAGCUAUGACUUCUUAAUAAGCCUGUUGAUCUGUCGCAGCCUCCACAGGGCCCAACUGUCAGUCCUGAUAAAUACAGCCCUGAACCAAUUCCCAAGGAGCAUGUGCAUUAAAGGAGCCUGCUGAGGCAUAGAUGCCUUUUGUUUUUCUCUCCUGGCAGGGUUGGCUGCCGUGUUUGGGGGGCAAAAAGGGGGUGAGUGAAGAAGACUAGACGUGUAAGAAACGAAUGUUAGAUUUACUCUGUUUUUAACCUUUGUGAUUACAUCAGGUUUUAACCUGUUUGAGUUAGUGCUUGCCUGAUGUGGUACAGAACCCAGGCAUUGAACCUUCGUGCUGAACAUGAGCACACUAAUCUAUCUAUCUAUCUAUCUAUCUAUCUAUCUAUCUAUCUAUCUUCCUUCCUUCCUUCCUUCCUUCCUUCCUUCCUUCCUUCCUUCCUUCCUUUCUUUCUUUCUUUCUUUCUUUCUUUCUUUCUUUCUUUCUUUCUUUCUUUUUUCCCCGAAACAGGGUUUUUCUGUGUAGCUCUGGCUGUCCUUGAACUCACUUUGUAGACCAGGCUAGCUUCAAACUCAGAAAUCCGUCUGCCUCUGCCUCCCAAGUGCUGGGAUUAAAGGCGUGCACCACCACCACCCGGCCUCACACUAAUCUUUCUUAACCCCAUUUUUUUUUUUAUUUAUAAAAAGGAAAAUCUAAUAUCUACUUCUCAGGGUCAGUUACAAUUUGAGAUUUAUUAUGGACCCAUCUCUUACUGAGAAUAUCUUAGAGUUCUAUCUACAAACUUCUAAUGUAUCACUAGCUAGAUGCUUAAAUAUUUGUUUACAUAGUAUUCCUGGGGAAUUCAGGGUACUCACAGUACCCAACUCUGUAUUAAGAAAUACAUAUAUUGGAUUCUCAGUAUCUGUGCAUUCUGUAUCUAUGAAUUUAAAAUAUUUUUUCAAAUUGUAUGUAUGUAUGGGCUGGGGAAAUAGUUCAUCCCACAGUAUACUUGCCAGGCAAGCACAGGGCCUGUUUGAUCCCCAGAACCCACAUGAAAAGCCAGGUAUGAUGGCACAGGGAGGCAAAGACAGGAUCUCUGGGGCUUCCUGGCCCCAGAUAAUAAAGUGGAGGGUGACUGUGGUAGACACUGACUAUCAACCUCUGGCCUCUAGGAGUGUAUGGAUGGACACACCUUCUCACAAGCACAUACACACCCAUGCAUCAAACCUACACACGCACAUGUACACACAUAUGUACACACAUACUCUCUCUCACACACACAUAUACACACACACACACAUACACACACUGUCUCUGUCUCUCUCUCUUUGUCUCUGUCUCUCUCUCACACAUAUACACAUAGACAUAUUCUCUUGGUCUCUGUUUCUCUCUCUCUCUCACACACAUGGGAUGUAGAAUGAACAUCUAUGGACACUAUUUUGUACUUACUAUUCUCUAGACAAAAAUCACAGCUGGUACUGGUUAUUAUAGAUAGAGAUGCUUUUAAUACUGGUGGGAAGAAAUUGGUAAAUUCUAUGUAAGCAUUCCAUCAUUUAAUGUAAAGAGCCUGAGCUUGGUGGAUUUUAUUAUCCAAAGAAGACGGGGCAGUCUCCUGAGCAGUGCUCCCUGGCAGUGCUCCUGGACUAUCCCUUCUGGAACACCAAUGAGUGACUAUGGUUUUGGACUUGGUAAAGGCAGAGAUGGGUAGAGGGAAGAAUCUUUCUGCCUGCCUGCCUGCCUGCCUGCCUUUGAGACAAGGUUUUUCUAUGUUGCCUUGGCUGUCCUGUAACUUACUUUGCAGACCAGGUUGGCCUCAAACUCACAGAAAUAUAUCUGCCUCUGUCUCCAGAGUGCUGAGAUUAAAGUCAUAUGCUCCCACAUUCUGUAGUGUUCUUUCAAAGUGACUUUAUCUUUAAAAUAUUUUUUAUUUGUUCUUUGGCAAUUUUAUACUUGUAUACAAUGUAUCCACCACCAGACAUUCCCGCAAACUGACUUUCUUCAAGCUAUGGAUGAUGGAGAGGGAAUAGUGAUCAAACUGAAAAAAGUCACCAGAUACAUGCUCACUUGGUUAGAUAGUUGAUACAUGCUCACUUGGUUAGAUAGUUGAUACAUGCUCACUUGGUUAGAUAGUUGAUACAUGCUCACUUGGUUAGAUAGUUGAUACAUGCUCACUUGGUUAGGUAGUUGCAGGGAAGUAGUGAGUUUUAAAUAACUUACAGUUAUGUAGGAAGUCUGCUUGUAGUUUAAUAGCGACUUUUCUUCUCCUUUGAGUUUCAGUUUAUUGGCGUUAGUGGCUGGGGGAUGGGGUGGGGGGGCAGCCCCUAGCACGUUUUAACCCUUCCUCUGCCAAGUAGCCACGGUAGCUUUCCACCCAGCUGGAGAAAUAUCAAUGUGGUAAGCACUCUCAGGACCUUUGCUUGGUAGGGUGUUAGGCCAGAAUGUUGAAGGAACUGUUUUAUCAUAUGCAUGUUUCUUUAAUGUGUCACAGCUUCUGGGCUUAUGCUAAUCCCCCAUCCCAGUAAAAAUGGCCUUCUGGGCAGUCUCCCAAGCUCUGCUGUCUUCCUGCUUUGUUCUUGGGGCUCCCACCUUAUCUGAAGGCCCCUCCCACCUCUCUGCUUCCUCCUGUUCUCUCCUGUAACAGCCAGCCAGCUCUACCACCCUCGAAUAGUACUUAGUGUUCUGCCUUAGGUUCAGUUUGGUUUAUUUAGGCAUUUGUCUUCAGGCUGUAGACUCUUUAAAGGUAAGGACCAGCUCGUGUCAUAAGUUCAUUUGUCUCACACGGUGUUGAAGAAAAAGUAGCAUUUCGAUGUGAUAUCUGGAGUUGGACAGAUGUAACUUGGAAACCAUGUCACUCCACUUACCAGCUCUGUGACUUUGGGCAGAUUAUGUAAUGUCCCUGAGCAACUUUCUUAGUUUAUAAAGUAGAAAUGAUGCUUUAUAAUAAUAAAUGCCUCUGCUGAUAGAGUGCUCUCCUAAUGUGCAGGAGUAAGGCCCUGGGCUUGCUCCUUAACCACACACCUGUCAUCCCAGCACUCCAGAGGUGGAGGCAGGAGAACCAGAGGACCAAGCUCCAGGUCAUCAUACAACGUGUAGGGAAUUCAAGGCUAGCCUGGGACACCGAGACCCUAUUUUUAAAAAGUUACUACUUUUAUCUAUCAAUGGUUUAAUGGGCUCACAUGUGUUAGGAUGCCGGUUCCUGGUAGCUGAUGUGAAAAAAGAACAGAUAGCCCCUGCCUUAUAUUUUAUAUCUGUGUGCUUUAUGAACCGAUGAGAAAAUGGCCAACAAACAAUGUGUAGCUAUGAAUAUGGUAAGGAAAGAAGCCACCACAGGAAAAUGGCUGGCAGAGGCCCUUUUAUCUGGGACACCAAGGUCUUGCUGAGAUAUUACUCGAUACUACAGAUGAAUAGGAUUUUGCCAGGAGGAACACUCCAGUCCGAGAACAGCAUGUUCAUAAGGCCCGAGGCGAGGAAGAGCCUCCUGUACCCAAGAUCUGGAUGGAAGCCAGGGUGCUGGGGUAGCAGAGUGAGGAAGUAAGUCCCCACACCCAGAGUGUGAGCAGCCAGCUUCUGGUUCUGGCAGCGUGGCCCACAACCAGCAAGCAGCUUGCUUGCUGGUUCUGGCAGUGUGGCCCACAACCAGCAAGCAGCUCGCUGUUGCUGGCCUUCCUGAGUCAGGACUUGGACGUAAAAAACAAAAAACAAAAAACAAAAAACAAAAAAACAAAAAAACCAAAAUGGUGAAAUGGAGCCUCAUUUGUUGGGUAGGAUUAGAUUAGAGUUGAAUGUUUCAUAAAACUGGGUCUCUAAAAAAACAAGCCCACUCCUGGAAGUGCCAAAGACUUUAUUGCUUUGAAUGAAUUUUUGUUUUCUAAAAUGCCGUGGCCUUUCUAUGGCCCCGGAGCAUUCAGAGACUGGGUCAGACUAUCCCAGAACUCAUGUGACUUUAAUGUUGUGUGUUGUUUAGUGCCUGCGGGGCUGGCUACUCAGAGACCCUGGGCUGUUUUCUCCGGUAUCCACUGGCCUAUAUUCUUAGGCUGCAGUCGGCUUGCUUAAGGCCUUUUGUUUGUUCAUCCUGCAGAAGCUUGAUUCUCUCUGCAAUGUCCCACCCCUUCCUGCUGCCGUCCCUGUCUGUCUCUCGGUGCACCUUUCUCCAAAUUUCAUCUGUUUCCUCCAUAAUCUACAAAGAGAGAUGUUGGUGCAUUGAUUAGAAUGAUGGCGUGCAGUUUUCUCACAGAGGUCUAAUGCAUAACUGAACGCAGAGCUUCCUAACACGUGCAUUCCACUGCAUCAGAGGUCUGUACACGCAGAGCUUCCUAAUGCAUGCAUGCUGCUGUAGCAGAGGUCUGCACCACCCCCUCCUCAGAGUGUCCUGCACCUCAGAGACUCUAAGUAAUGCAGGGUCACUCUUGUAGCAUGGCUAUUGGAAUUAUGGAGCUGUCUUGUUGAUUUAAUUUCCCCCCUCCGGCCCCCCCAGCUCUGGAGCAGUAGGAAUGAGAACGGAGAGGCUAAAGUAUUGCUGAGUCACAGAAUUGCAAAGCUCAGAGACCAGGGAGAGAUCUUGCCACUGCAGCACCCGCCCCACCCCCACCGUGAAGUUAGGCAGCAUUGCCCAAGUUCACAGGGCUUCUGGCAGAGCUGAAAAUAAACCCAGGCCGCCUGAUUAUUAGCCCAGUGUCUUCCCUAUCAUCCUGCCUUUCAGAGAACUCUGAAUAAUUGAAUAGAUUUUUGAAAACUUGUAUUUUUUUUUUCUUUCUAAGAAUAGCUUCCAUGAGAACUGGAACAUUUGUGAUCUUAUUUUUGGCCCGUGUUUUCCGAUUCUAGCAGUGCCUCCUUUAAAUUCUGUAAAGAUUGUCUUCCUGCCCGUGUUGUGCUGCAGACCUGCGUGUCAUGCAUCCUGUUCCUGUGUUCCCAUUGGAAUUUGGAAGCUUAGCUCUGGAGUCCCUCCCUGCCUUGGUAGGCCAUGAAAACUGUGCCCCUGGAUCCUUAGCUCCGAGCAUGGAGAAGGAUGAUACAUUUUUACCCUCUAGGCGGUGGGUUCCCAAGAGAGAGAAUGAUUUGUGUUUUCUCUCCUCUCCAGUUGGUUACUGAAGUAGGCUGCAUGCGCUUUUGUAGCACUGCACUCCUGUGCACAGUGCCAGGCAUCUUCUAUAGAUGGUCUGCCGUGUGGAGCCCUAAUGUUGACAUUUCUGCAGGAGAGAAGUCUGUUUACAGACUCCCAGUGCACAAACUUGGAGCCUGUGUUAUCCCUGCUUGCCCUCUGGGCAAACACAGGAUACACUCCAGCACAGCAAUGGUCAGCCUUUUGCAGUUGUGGUUUCUGCAUCCAUAGAUUCAAUUAAUUUUGAAUUUUAAAAUUUCAUAAAGCCGGGCGUGGUGGCGCACGCCUUUAAUCCCAGCAC